UACGUAGGGGGCAAGCGUUGUCCGGAUUUAUUGGGCGUAAAGAGCGUGUAGGCGGCUUUGCAAGUCCGUUGUGAAAACUCGAGGCUCAACCUCGAGACGCCGGUGGAAACUGCAAAGCUAGAGUCCGGAAGAGGAGAGUGGAAUUCCUGGUGUAGCGGUGAAAUGCGCAGAUAUCAGGAAGAACACCUAUGGCGAAGGCAGCUCUCUGGGACGGUACUGACGCUGAGACGCGAAAGCGUGGGGAGCAAACAGG
rnacentral:rRNA from 1 species